GGGAAAGAAACCUGGAAAGGUAGGGAGGUAUGGAUAUGGACAAGCUAUGCCAAGGAGCAGGGCUUUGUCAUGGAGAGUGACUAGGUGCUUUUACAUAGGAAAGUCACCUGAUAAUAUUAAAACCUGUGAAAUAUCACUCUGGUGGAAGUGUGAAUGAAUUUGAAAGGGGUGUAACACUGUUCUACUUUGUUUACUCCUCAGUACCCUUGGCUGUGUACAUUUGAGUAAAGAGAGCACUAUAAAAUCAAAAACCAAUGAAAUGGUUUCCAGAACACAGAACUAUUAAGCUUAAGAAAAGGACAGAAGGAACUGAAGAGAGAGGAACUGUUUUGGAGCAUCACACUUCCACCUCAGAAGAAAUAAGGAAGGAAGGAGGAGGGUGUUCCCACGGCUCUUCAACCAGGCCGGCUCUUCAGCCUACAUCCCCAUCUCAUCAAGUAAAAGGGAUUUUUCAACUGGACCAACCAGAUGGUUUAACAGUGCACUCCCACACCAUUCAACUACGCAAGGGAGAUACACUUAACAUAUGCAGUCGUAUAACACCUACUAACAUUUUCAAACAUUAAACCUUUAAAAAAGAGUUCUAAAGAAAUAGAAGCUUGAAGUAUCAUCUCUCAAGUAUAUAGACACUACUUCAUGGUGUGGUAAUAUAUGCAUAUAGAAGCUAGUAAACACCUCCAGGAGAUGCAAAAGGAAUUAGAACUGCCACAAGGUGCAAGCAAAACCUUGAGGUAAUCAAUCUGCAUCCCAUUUUGGAUGAGAAUAUUUGCAACUUUGAAGGUUAUUUUAAGGACAGCAGCAGAAGAAUUAUGGCAGCUCUUCACGGAAAAAAAAAUGGCAACAAUAAAAUCAGCAACUCCUGCCAAAUAAAUGGGCAUAAAAAAGAAAUCAUAGACUGCUGGCAAUGGUGGGGAAAAAGUUAUAAAAAUUGUCUCUGCACCAUCUUCCUUUUGUCCUCUAAAAUAUUCACAUUAGCAAAAGUAUAUAACAGCUGAUGAAGAAAUACUGAUAAUUUGUCUUUUUCUGUUUUUCCUCUUCUAAUCCUUCACCCAUCUGAGCUAAAGUCUAGACCUAAGGAGGCUACUAAUUCAGGGAUCGAGUAAUCUGCCAAGCAAGAGUUUAUUCAAGCACAGUUUGAAAUAAAGGUUUCAAAUGCAUAGCCUGUCGAUACUUUGGAAGGAUUCUCAUCAUAACGAGUAUGCAAUUUGCUAUAAAGAAGAAUGCCCAUUACGGACUAAAUGUUUAUGUCCUCCUAAAAUUCAUAUGUUGAAGGCCUAACUCUCAAUGUGAUGAUUAUGUGGAGAUGGUGCCUUUGGGAGGUAACUGGGCUUAGAUGUGGGCGUGAGGGUGGGGCCUCAUGGUGAAAUUUGUGCCCUUGUAAGAAAAACACACCACAGGUUUUCAUUCUUCCUCUGCCACAUGAGGCCACAGUAAGAAUGUGACCAUCUGCUAGCCAGGAGGAAAGUCCUCACUGGAACCCGCCCAUAAUAACACUCCAGUCUGGGGCUUUUCAGCCUCCAGAACCAUGAGAAAUAAAUUUCUAGUGUUUAAGUCA
ensembl:lncRNA LINC00343 long intergenic non-protein coding RNA 343